rnacentral:rRNA from 1 species
AUGGGGCGAGGCAGGGCACCGUGCUGCGCCAAGGUCGGGCUGAACAGGGGCUCCUGGACGCCGCAGGAGGACAUGCGCCUCAUCGCCUACAUCCAGAAGCACGGGCACGCCAACUGGCGCGCCCUCCCGAGGCAGGCCGGCCUGCUGCGCUGCGGGAAGAGCUGCCGGCUCCGGUGGAUCAACUACCUGCGCCCCGACCUCAGGCGCGGCAACUUCACCGCCGAGGAGGAGGCCACCGUCAUCAAGCUGCACGCCUUGCUCGGCAACAAAUGGUCCAAGAUCGCGGCGUGCCUGCCCGGGAGGACGGACAACGAGAUCAAGAACGUCUGGAACACGCACCUGAAGAAGAAGGCGUCGGAGCAGAAGCCAGGCGUUGGCGAGAGCAAGGGCGAGGCGGCCGACGGAGACCCUGACACGCCCGCCCCUUCGUUGUCUUCGGCGUCCUCAUCGAUGACGACCAGCGACGGGUCCAACGGCGGCGCCGGGGAGCAGUGCGGCACGAGCAACGAGCCCGAAACGAUAAACGUACCAUCGCCUCUCGAGCUGGAGCUGGAGCCAGUCAUGGACAUCCUGGACAUGCUGGCCGACGAGCCCACGGAGGCGUUCGCGACGGCGGCGCCAAUGCCAACGUCUUCGUGCUCGUCGUCCUCCCUCACGACGUGCGCCGGGGGCGGCGGCGGUGUGGAGGAGCUGCUCGAGCUGCCGGACAUCGACAUGGACGCUGACAUCUGGAGCAUCAUCGAUGACGAUGUCGCGCGCCUACAACAAGGCGAUGCAACAGUGCCAUGUACGACCAAGGAGGGAAGCGAGUGGUGGUUGGAGGAUUUGGAGAAGGAACUCGGCCUGUGGGGCCCCGCGGAGGAAUCCCAGCCCCAGGCGGGCCCACUCGACCAGAUAGGCUACCCGGGCCAACUCUACGAAACGGAGGGGGACAUGGUGAUGGUAUCCUCCUGCCCGCCGUCCAGAUCGGAUCAUGAGGCGUCCAAUUCUGAAUAG